rnacentral:rRNA from 2 species
GACAGAGGGUGCAAACGUUGCUCGGAUUUACUGGGCGUAAAGCGCGUGUAGGCGGGCAUCUAAGUCGGGUGUGAAAUCCCUGGGCUCAACCUAGGAACUGCACUCGAAACUGGAUACCUGGAGUGAUGGAGAGGAGAGCGGAAUUCCCGGUGUAGAGGUGAAAUUCGUAGAUAUCGGGAGGAACACCAGUGGCGAAGGCGGCUCUCUGGACAUUUACUGACGCUGAGACGCGAAAGCGUGGGGAGCAAACAGG